CAGCCGCGGUAAUACGUAGGAGACGAGCGUUGUCCGGAAUCACUGGGCGUAAAGCGCGUGUAGGCGGAUAGGCAAGUCUGCUGUGAAAGUUCCUGGCUUAACCGGGAAAGGUCGGUGGAAACUGCCAAUCUGGAGGACGGUAGAGGUAGGUAGAAUUCCCGGUGUAGUGGUGAAAUGCGUAGAGAUCGGGAGGAAUACCUGUGGCGAAGGCGGCCUACUGGGCCGGACCUGACACUGAGAGACGAAAGCUAGGGGAGCGAAUGGG
rnacentral:rRNA from 1 species